CAUCUGAAAGAUCAUGUGAUUUCCUUCACAAUUUUAUCUCAGUACGAAUACUGUAACUACAGUUGUGUUUACGUAGUAAACAGCUGAAGCAAUAUCCUGAUCUCAAUUCACGGGUGUUUUUACUUACAAACCUUUUGUGAACUUUAGUGACGAAGUGAAAACGAGAAACGAAUAUGACUGACAAAGAUGCCCCUACUGCCACGGGUUCAGAAGCAAUUACAGCAGCAAGACACGAAGAAGGUUGGAGUGUACCGUGCUAUAAAUCUUUGUUAACGCGAGAAGAUAUUUCGAAAAACCGCGCGAAGACGAUGGCUCCAGAAAAUUCGUUUGGGGCAUCUAACAAAAGCAAGGAUGUCAAGAAUGCCACGAAUAAAAUUACAAUUCGUCAGUGGCAAAUUCUGCUGCUUUUGUCAGUGAGCAAUCUUGUGAUUGCAGCUUGUAUAUCAUUACAAGCUCCCUUCUUUCCAAGAGAGGCAGAAGAGAAAGGUGCAUCUCCUACCAUAUAUGGUUUUGUAUUUGGAGUUUACGAGCUUGGUGUCUUUAUAUCUUCUCCAAUCUAUGGAAAAAUUAUUUCUUGGAUCACACCCAAAUUCUUGGUCAAUGCAGGGCUAUUUGUUGCAGGAACAACAACUAUAUUGUUUGGUUUCCUAGAUCAUUCGCCACCUGGGACACCAUUUAUUGUUUUAGCCAUUUUAGUUCGAUUAGUGGAAGGAUUUGGAGCUGCGGCGUUUGUCACUGCAAGCUACACUUAUGCCGCUGCAGAAUUUCCAGGCAGAGUUGCUUCAGCAUUCGCAACAAUCGAAACGUUUUUUGGGUUAGGACUCCUGCUUGGGCCUACGAUAGGUGGUGCUUUAUAUCAGGCUGGAGGAUACCCACUUCCAUUUGUUGUACUUGGGGCGACCCAACUUUUUGUGGAGGUUUGUUCCAUAUUUAUUCUUCCACGGCCUGAUCGCAAUGAAAAGCCGAAGUCGGGCAACAUGUUCAAAUUUUUAGCUGAUACCGGAGUACUUCUUGAUGGGCUUCUUAUCACAACAACUUUGGUGUUCUUAGGAUAUAACUCAGCGACGUUAGAGCCUCAUCUUCGCCAGUUUGACUUGCAACCGGUUGUGCUGGGCACCAUUUUCAUGAUAACGGCAACUAUCUACGUUAUCACCACGCCAGUGUGGGGAUGGCUGUGUGACCGUGGUUUUGACCCCAAACUGCUCGCGGUCAUCGGCGGAGUCAUGUGUAUUGUUAGCCUCAUUUUAAUUGGUCCAGCUCCAUUUCUACCGUUUACAGCGGAACUUUGGAUGAAAACGUGGCUUUCCUGACGAUAUGUCAACACAUGGUCUUGUAUCAGCGUUGUGUACCAUCUGUAUGUCCAUAGGAGCUUUCAUUGGGCCAACCAUCGGUGGAUACCUUUUGGAGCAUUUAGGCUAUCGUCAAUCCACGUUCAUCCUUUUGAUUAUGGAAGUUUCUUUG
rnacentral:misc_RNA from 1 species